rnacentral:rRNA from 1 species
UACAGAGGGUGCAAACGUUGUUCGGAAUUACUGGGCGUAAAGCGCGUGCAGGCGGCCUUGCAAGUCGGACGUGAAAUCCCACGGCUCAACCGUGGAAGUGCAUUCGAAACUGCGAGGCUGGAGUCCUGGAGAGGAAAGUGGAAUACUCGGUGUAGAGGUGAAAUGCGUAGAGAUGUGGAGGAACACCAGUGGCGAAGGCGGCUUUCUGGUCUGUAACUGACGCUGAGGCGCGAAAGCGUGGGGAGCAAACAGG